rnacentral:lncRNA from 1 species
GCAGGGUGCCCUGGGGGCGUGACCGGGGGCUCACAGCGGGACGGGGGCGACCAAGGCUGCACCAGGGACAGGGACAGGGACAGGGCAGGGCGCUGCUCACCUGGGGCUCGUAGCGCAACACGACGUCGUAGUCCAUGGCGGCCGGCACGUCGGCGACGUGGAACUCCGCUGCGCUGCCCUGCUGCAGGCGGGCGAACCCCGUGCCCGUCCACGUGGGCGCGCGGCCGUCGGGGGCCGCGCGCAGCACUAUUGAGCCCUGCGGGGGCCGCAGUCAGUCGAGCAGCCCAGCACACACGUGGCACGGGGCCUGCCCUGGCACAGCCCCCGCACGGGACCUUCUGGCCUCGCGGCCCCUCACCUGUCGCAGCCGGGCAUCUUCGGCCUCGUAGGUGUAGUGGUCCAGGCGGAUGCGGAAGUAGCCGGGCUCCACCUGGUGGCACUGGCGGCCCAGCAUGUGGGCCCGACAGCGGCACUGCCCUGUCUCUGCCGCGCACCUGCCGCACGGGCGCCAUUAGGGCCCUGGGCAGCGCAGGGGACGCCCGAGCUGUUGCCCCAGCCCUGCUCCCCCAGCUCCACUCACUGGUUGUCCCGGGCACCUCCCACGUCGCAGUCACAGGCCCGGCAGCCGGGCAGGUCAUGGUUCAGGGCCCAGUGCUCGGGCUGGGGGGAGACACGCCGUCAGGGCCUCAGCGCCGCAGCUGCGGUGCACGGCCCCCGCGCCCCAGCACUCACCAGGCACUCGCUGCAGCUGCGGCCGGUCACCAGGCGCUUGCAGAAGCAGUCGCCACUGGUGGGGUUGCACGGGGUCCCCUCCGACACAGUCCCGCGGGGGUCACAUUGGCAGCCUGCCCGCGAGAGCAGGGUGGAGGGCACCUGCAUGGCAGCCUGCCCUGGCCCCCCAGCACCCCGUCCCUGCACCUGAACCGGGGGCACAGCUGCAAGGGCAGGGAGCCCCCCAGCACAGUCCUCCCCAGGCCCUGCCAGUGCCCCUGCCUUGUGGCACGGCUGCAGGAGCCAGGCCCCCCAGCACUGCCCCACCCCCCAGUGCCCCGGCUGGGCUGGAGAAGCCCCUGCCCGUGCUCCUGCCCCAGCACCUGCUCAAGGGGCAGGCCCCGGCACCUACGCUGGCAGCCCUGGGGGUUGUCGGCGCGCAGCCCAAAGAAGCCCAUCUUGCAGCGGUCGCAGCGGGGCCCCUGCACGUGCUCCUUGCAGCGGCAUUGCCCAGCCAGCAUCCCCAGCGCCGGGUCAUCGUGA